rnacentral:rRNA from 1 species
AGAGUUUGAUCCUGGCUCAGGAUGAACGCUAGCUACAGGCUUAACACAUGCAAGUCGAGGGGAAACGACAUCGAAAGCUUGCUUUUGAUGGGCGUCGACCGGCGCACGGGUGAGUAACGCGUAUCCAACCUGCCCACCACUUGGGGAUAACCUUGCGAAAGUAAGACUAAUACCCAAUGACGUCUCUAGAAGACAUCUGAAAGAGAUUAAAGAUUUAUCGGUGAUGGAUGGGGAUGCGUCUGAUUAGCUUGUUGGCGGGGUAACGGCCCACCAAGGCGACGAUCAGUAGGGGUUCUGAGAGGAAGGUCCCCCACAUUGGAACUGAGACACGGUCCAAACUCCUACGGGAGGCAGCAGUGAGGAAUAUUGGUCAAUGGACGAGAGUCUGAACCAGCCAAGUAGCGUGCAGGAUGACGGCCCUAUGGGUUGUAAACUGCUUUUAUAAGGGAAUAAAGUGAGUCUCGUGAGACUUUUUGCAUGUACCUUAUGAAUAAGGACCGGCUAAUUCCGUGCCAGCAGCCGCGGUAAUACGGAAGGUCCGGGCGUUAUCCGGAUUUAUUGGGUUUAAAGGGAGCGUAGGCCGGAGAUUAAGCGUGUUGUGAAAUGUAGACGCUCAACGUCUGCACUGCAGCGCGAACUGGUUUCCUUGAGUACGCACAAAGUGGGCGGAAUUCGUGGUGUAGCGGUGAAAUGCUUAGAUAUCACGAAGAACUCCGAUUGCGAAGGCAGCUCACUGGAGCGCAACUGACGCUGAAGCUCGAAAGUGCGGGUAUCGAACAGGAUUAGAUACCCUGGUAGUCCGCACGGUAAACGAUGGAUGCCCGCUGUUGGUCUGAAUAGGUCAGCGGCCAAGCGAAAGCAUUAAGCAUCCCACCUGGGGAGUACGCCGGCAACGGUGAAACUCAAAGGAAUUGACGG